rnacentral:rRNA from 6 species
AAAUUGAAGAGUUUGAUCAUGGCUCAGAUUGAACGCUGGCGGCAGGCCUAACACAUGCAAGUCGAACGGUAACAGGAAGCAGCUUGCUGCUUCGCUGACGAGUGGCGGACGGGUGAGUAAUGUCUGGGAAACUGCCUGAUGGAGGGGGAUAACUACUGGAAACGGUGGCUAAUACCGCAUAACGUCGCAAGACCAAAGAGGGGGACCUUCGGGCCUCUUGCCAUCAGAUGUGCCCAGAUGGGAUUAGCUUGUUGGUGAGGUAACGGCUCACCAAGGCGACGAUCCCUAGCUGGUCUGAGAGGAUGACCAGCCACACUGGAACUGAGACACGGUCCAGACUCCUACGGGAGGCAGCAGUGGGGAAUAUUGCACAAUGGGCGCAAGCCUGAUGCAGCCAUGCCGCGUGUAUGAAGAAGGCCUUCGGGUUGUAAAGUACUUUCAGCGGGGAGGAAGGUGUUGUGGUUAAUAACCGCAGCAAUUGACGUUACCCGCAGAAGAAGCACCGGCUAACUCCGUGCCAGCAGCCGCGGUAAUACGGAGGGUGCAAGCGUUAAUCGGAAUUACUGGGCGUAAAGCGCACGCAGGCGGUCUGUCAAGUCGGAUGUGAAAUCCCCGGGCUCAACCUGGGAACUGCAUUCGAAACUGGCAGGCUUGAGUCUUGUAGAGGGGGGUAGAAUUCCAGGUGUAGCGGUGAAAUGCGUAGAGAUCUGGAGGAAUACCGGUGGCGAAGGCGGCCCCCUGGACAAAGACUGACGCUCAGGUGCGAAAGCGUGGGGAGCAAACAGGAUUAGAUACCCUGGUAGUCCACGCCGUAAACGAUGUCUACUUGGAGGUUGUGCCCUUGAGGCGUGGCUUCCGGAGCUAACGCGUUAAGUAGACCGCCUGGGGAGUACGGCCGCAAGGUUAAAACUCAAAUGAAUUGACGGGGGCCCGCACAAGCGGUGGAGCAUGUGGUUUAAUUCGAUGCAACGCGAAGAACCUUACCUGGUCUUGACAUCCACAGAAGAAUCCAGAGAUGGAUUGGUGCCUUCGGGAACUGUGAGACAGGUGCUGCAUGGCUGUCGUCAGCUCGUGUUGUGAAAUGUUGGGUUAAGUCCCGCAACGAGCGCAACCCUUAUCCUUUGUUGCCAGCGAUUAGGUCGGGAACUCAAAGGAGACUGCCAGUGAUAAACUGGAGGAAGGUGGGGAUGACGUCAAGUCAUCAUGGCCCUUACGACCAGGGCUACACACGUGCUACAAUGGCGCAUACAAAGAGAAGCGACCUCGCGAGAGCAAGCGGACCUCAUAAAGUGCGUCGUAGUCCGGAUUGGAGUCUGCAACUCGACUCCAUGAAGUCGGAAUCGCUAGUAAUCGUGGAUCAGAAUGCCACGGUGAAUACGUUCCCGGGCCUUGUACACACCGCCCGUCACACCAUGGGAGUGGGUUGCAAAAGAAGUAGGUAGCUUAACCUUCGGGAGGGCGCUUACCACUUUGUGAUUCAUGACUGGGGUGAAGUCGUAACAAGGUAACCGUAGGGGAACCUGCGGUUGGAUCACCUCCUUACCUUAAAGAA